CGUUCCCGGGUCUUGUACACACCGCCCGUCACACCAUGGGAGCGGGUUUUACCAGAAGUGAGUAGCCUAACCGCAAGGGGGGCGCUUACCACGGUAGGAUUCGUGACUGGGGUG
rnacentral:rRNA from 1 species